rnacentral:rRNA from 1 species
UUUAUGGAGAGUUUGAUCCUGGCUCAGGAUGAAUGCUGGCGGCGUGCCUAACACAUGCAAGUCGAGCGGUAACAGGUCUAGUUUACUAGAUGCUGACGAGCGGCGGACGGCUGAGUAACGCGUGGGAAUUUGCCCCAAAGUGAGGGAUAAC